rnacentral:rRNA from 1 species
AGUGAACGCUGUCGGCGUGCCUAAUCCAUGCACUUCGAACGUAGUGGCGCCCGUGUGUGUAAUGUAUAGCUAAUCUUCCCUACACUAGCUGACAACAGUUUGAAACGACUUCUCAUACUCUAUAGUGUAGGAUGAGGCUAUGUUGUAUCAGCUAGUUGGUGAGGUAAUGGCCCACCAAGGCUAUGACGCAUAACUGGUCUGAGAUGAUGAGCAGUCAAACUGGAACUGAGACACGGUACAGACUCCGAAGGGAGGAAGGAGUAGGGAAGAUUGCUCAAUGGGGGAAAGCCUGAGGCAGCAACGCCGCGGGGAGGAGGAAACUGUUCGGAGCGUAAACUCCUAUUGUUAGGGAAGCGGAAACUAACUAAUAAGAACCGGCAAACUCAGUGCCAGCAGAAGCGGUAAUUC